UUUUGUCUUUGUUGUGAAGUGCAAGUUCCUCAUGUGAAUUGUUAUAUACUUGACCUCUGGCUAGGAAGAGUGUUUUAUGGCAGCCCCAUUUAAUUCUUCCUGGUCCAGCCAUGCACAGGUUUCUACUGCACUAAGCAUCUUCACCACACACUCCUGUAACCACACUUCUGCCAAACUGAAUAGUCUUUAUAGCAGGCCCCUACAAACAAUAAAAGCAAGUUUCUUUAUUUGGGUUUGGAGAAUAAAAAAAGAAACGGAACCAACUACCCGCUCUUUAUUAUCUCAUUCUAGGUCCAAGAGAAGAUACCCUCAUGAAUUGGCAUUCUCUCCUUGGGAUAGAUGGGAGAACUCUGUGUGUGAUGUGAUUGACCUCUCUUGGACUUGAGCUCAGUUAUGUGGUUUCCUCUAUUUCCUGUCCUGGGAAGAGAUGAAAGAGUAGCCCUGAGCCACUGUGCAGCAGCAUCCAGACACCAUGGCUAGAAUCCCAAAUUCUUAGCCUCAGUCUAUGAGCUGGGCUUAGAUCUUUGAUUAUGUUGCCCUUUCCUCCCAAACAGGGCUGCCUCCUCAGUGGUUCCUCUCUCCCAGUCUUGUCACAUGACAUAUGUGGUUCCUCUCUUAGUGCUUUAUUUCCUCUACCAAACAUCCAUUCAGAAAGAAUUAUUAUUGUCACACUGGUUUUAGCUCAUUUAGGAGAAAUAAAAUUUAAAAAAUAUUUCUAAAUAAAUAAAUUUAUUCUUUUAGCUAGCUCAUGCUGACCAAUAUAUAAGAUAUUUUCUGAUUCAUCAUAUAUUUUAAGCCAAAACACACUUGCCAUCUGAACCCUAAACACAUAAGUAGAACGUUUCCCUUUCUUUCGCUAAGGGACAAAUUUCAUAAUAUUUUGUGCAAAAUGCACAUACACAGGUGAGCAUUUUCCUUCCCUUCUCACCUCCCAAAGUCAGGUAAUGAAAAAACCUUAGAAACUUGUACAAGAAUUUAAUUGAAAUUAGAUCUUUAAAAAAUUAGAUAAUUCUCAAUUCUCUGCUUCUAAUUCACCAGAUUUUGCAUGCUCCUUUGGGCAUUCUCUCUUUCUCCUCACAGUUUCCUGGUUGCCAUCACACAAAAUGAUCCUUGCUAAAGGUAUCAGCAUCAAUCCCUAACCUCUCAUUCUUCAACUAUCCAUUUAAAUUCCAUCAAUAGGCUCAUGCAAAUUAUAGAUGUUGUGAAUAAUUCUUUUAUUGGGAGAAAUUGAAAGAACACUAUUUUAACAGUUUAAAGUAAUCAGCAUCAAAUUAACCUUGCUUAGUCUUGUUCUCAACUAGCAGCUAGUCUUCUGACCAGUCCCAUGACCAAGUGCCCACAUUUGUCACCAAUAGCUGAAUAUCUGACAUAGCCAUCUUUGAGUAUUUACCUGGAAAACCUACUCAUCCUUUUCAUUCUAUUCCUUUGUCUUCAUUCUCUCAUCCAUUCUCUUAUGCUGUGGCAUCCUACCCACUACCUCUUCAUUAGUUAAGUGGUUGUUUCUUUCUGUCUACCCAGACUUCCUGGUGCCAAUUCAUGUCCUGCCCACAUUUUUGCUGCUUGCCUCCUGCUUCCCUUUCCUCCAUAGUCAUGUUUACACUGACUUUCUUCUGAGACAUCAUCUGUAACCUCUUUAAGAACCUUCCUUAUGUUGAUGACCUAUCUAAGGGGCCAUCUGUCACCCACAUGGUACUAUUUUAGCACUAGGAAAGGUGGAAACUGCUCAGAAUAUUUAUCACAUGUCUUUAAUAGGAUCCUAACUUUCAUGUACGACUUCUGAAGAUACAUUAUAAGAGAAAUCCAAACUGCAGAACAAAGGUCAUAGAAGCCAAGACUGGAAAGAAUAGAAGCAAGAUAAAUGCGAGUAACUAUCACGUCGAAAGCCUACUUUCACCUUUUCUUCAUUUUCCUUCUAUUUUUCUUCAUUUUCUAAAUGUCUCUAAUGAUUAGUAUGGUAGACAACCUCUAACAUGGCCUCUUGUUGUACUCACCUUGUGCAGUUCACACCUGGAUAGUCUCUCCUCUUGUUGAGGGUGAGCUGUACUUGUUUCUAACCAAUAGAUUGUGGUCAAGAUGAUGGGAUGUCACUUUCAUAAUUAGAUUACAAAAGAUUGUGACUUAUAUCUUACUAGCAGACUUUAUCACCUUCUUGGCUUUCAUGCUUUGAUAAACAAGCUGCCAUCUGGGAGAAGCCCACCUGGCAAGGAAUUGAGGGCAGCCUCUGGUCAACAGCCAACAAGGAACAGGGGGCUUUAUCCCAACAACCUGCAAGAAAAUGAAUGCUGCCAAAACCACCUAUUGAGCUUGGAAAUAGCAUCAAUCAAGCCUUCCUCAGCCAAGCCUUCCGAUGACACUGCAGACUUUGAUUGAAGCCUUGUUAGAGAACAUAAAGCAGAAGAUCCAGUUAAGCUGUACUCAGAUUCCUGACCCUUGGAAACUGUGAGACAAUGAAAAUGUGCUGUUUUCAACUACUAAAUAUUGGAGUUAUUUGUUACAGAGCAAUAACCAACUAGCAUAUGAAGGUAUUGUUUUUAUAACACAGUAGUAAACUUCUUUUAAAAAGGAUAUUCAAAUAAAAUGAAUUUGAAAUGGUAAA